rnacentral:rRNA from 1 species
AGUGAACGCUGGCGGUAGGCCUAACACAUGCAAGUCGAACGGCAGCACAGUAAGAGCUUGCUCUUACGGGUGGCGAGUGGCGGACGGGUGAGGAAUACAUCGGAAUCUACUUUUUCGUGGGGGAUAACGUAGGGAAACUUACGCUAAUACCGCAUACGACCUACGGGUGAAAGCAGGGGAUCUUCGGACCUUGCGCGAUUGAAUGAGCCGAUGUCGGAUUAGCUAGUUGGCGGGGUAAAGGCCCACCAAGGCGACGAUCCGUAGCUGGUCUGAGAGGAUGAACGGCCACAGUGGAACUGAACCACGGCCAAGAGUCCUAGGGAGGCAGCAGUGGGGAAUAGUGGACAAUGGGCGCAAGCCUGAUCCAGCCAUACCGCGUGGGUGAAGAAGGCCUUCGGGUUGUAAAGCCCUUUUGUUGGGAAAGAAAAGCAGCAGGUUAAUACCCCGCUGUUCUGACGGUACCCAAAGAAUAAGCACCGGCUAACUUCGUG